GUUCAUGUAUCUUUGGGACCUGUCGGCUGUGACAGUCUCCCUUUCUAGCCAUGGAAGAGUAUGUUCUUGUUUAUUGGCAGAUUGACACUACGAUUGGUAUCAGAUUCUGACUGGCACAAGUAGCAUUC
ensembl:snoRNA